UACGAAGGGGGCUAGCGUUGCUCGGAAUGACUGGGCGUAAAGGGCGCGUAGGCGGAUGGCACAGUCAGAUGUGAAAUUCCCGGGCUUAACCUGGGGGCUGCAUUUGAUACGUGUUGUCUUGAGUUCGGAAGAGGGUCGUGGAAUUCCCAGUGUAGAGGUGAAAUUCGUAGAUAUUGGGAAGAACACCGGUGGCGAAGGCGGCGAUCUGGGUCGAUACUGACGCUGAGGUGCGAAAGCGUGGGGAGCAAACAGG
rnacentral:rRNA from 1 species